rnacentral:rRNA from 1 species
UGGGGAAUUUUGGACAAUGGGGGAAACCCUGAUCCAGCCAUCCCGCGUGUGCGAUGAAGGCCUUCGGGUUGUAAAGCACUUUUGGCAGGAAAGAAACGUCGCGGGUUAAUACCCCGCGAAACUGACGGUACCUGCAGAAUAAGCACCGGCUAACUACGUGCCAGCAGCCGCGGUAAUACGUAGGGUGCAAGCGUUAAUCGGAAUUACUGGGCGUAAAGCGUGCGCAGGCGGUUCGGAAAGAAAGAUGUGAAAUCCCAGAGCUUAACUUUGGAACUGCAUUUUUAACUACCGGGCUAGAGUGUGUCAGAGGGAGGUGGAAUUCCGCGUGUAGCAGUGAGAUGCGUAGAUAUGCGGAGGAACACC